AACGAACGCUGGCGGCAUGCCUAACACAUGCAAGUCGAACGAAGCCUUCGGGCUUAGUGGCGCACGGGUGCGUAACGCGUGGGAAUCUGCCCUUGGGUUCGGAAUAACAGUUAGAAAUGACUGCUAAUACCGGAUGAUGUCUUCGGACCAAAGAUUUAUCGCCCAAGGAUGAGCUCGCGUAGGAUUAGGUAGUUGGUGGGGUAAUGGCCCACCAAGCCGACGAUCCUUAGCUGGUCUGAGAGGAUGAUCAGCCACACUGGGACUGAGACACGGCCCAGACUCCUACGGGAGGCAGCAGUGGGGAAUAUUGGACAAUGGGCGAAAGCUUGAUCCAGCAAUGCCGCGUGAGUGAUGAAGGCCUUAGGGUUGUAAAGCUCUUUUACCAGGGAUGAUAAUGACAGUACCUGGAGAAUAAGCUCCGGCUAACUCUGUGCCAGCCGCCGCAGUAA
rnacentral:rRNA from 1 species